rnacentral:rRNA from 1 species
UACGUAGGGGGCAAGCGUUGUCCGGAAUCAUUGGGCGUAAAGAGCGUGUAGGCGGCCAGAAAAGUCCGCUGUGAAAACUCGAGGCUCAACUUCGAGCUGUCGGUGGAAACUUUCUGGCUAGAGUCCGGAAGAGGAGAAUGGAAUUCCUGGUGUAGCGGUGAAAUGCGCAGAUAUCAGGUGGAACACCGAUGGCGAAGGCAGUGUUCUGGGCCAGUACUGACGCUGAGGAGCGAAAGCGUGGGGAGCAAACAGG